AGCUACCUCGAUUCCUUAGUUCCCCGUCCUGGCGUGGCGACGAUGAGAACCUAUGUGAUAAGGUACCAGAUAAAGACAGACCGAGGCUGGUUCGCUUUAAGCGAGAAUCAUCGUA
rnacentral:ncRNA from 1 species